GAGUUCGUCGAAGGAGCCGGCCCCCUGGCUCUUCGUGGUUAACCUUUUAUCGCUGAGGGAAGUUGGAAGAAGAAAGUGGAGGAGCUAUUCUUUGGCGAUUACUAUAUCAAAAUCUUCUUCUUCGAGGUCACGGGGGCCAAGCCCAGAAGGCUGGUACUUUCUCCUAGGUUGAAAAUGUGGCUUUCUUUUCGAUCUGAUGGUCUACGGGAAGAGAUCUGACAAGAACCUUUCGGAAUAUUAAACGUCGAUCCUGGCGUCAAGGGCCCAAUCUGAGAGUCGUCGCUGGGAGUUCUAGCAAAUCCACCUGUCCAGUAGGGAGAUGCUCACCUCUCCUUCACUGUCCACCCACUUCUCUCCCUGUCAGUUCUUUAAGACCCGUUGCCGAGGGUGUGACCAGAGCAGUCCUGCAAGUUUUAGAGAAGCAGCGUGGCCUAGGGGAAAGAGAUGAUUCAGUUGAUUUCAGUUUUUCAAAUCCUACCUGAUUUUUUCCCCGAGUAUUUCUCCGGCAUUUUUUUCUAAGAGCCUGAGGGAUUGUGUUUCUUGUCUUAGGCCGUCGAGUCCUCUCCGGCCUACAGCGACACCGUGGAUACAUCUCUCCCAGAGCGCCCCGCCUCCAUCUGCACUGGUGCUGGCAGUGGAUCCGGAGAUUUUUCUUGGUAACAACGGGGUUGUCUGAGGAAAGCCGACUCGAAAGACACGGUAAAAUUGGAUAGGUAAUUAAUUCACACGUGUCUACGACGGGAGAGAACACACCGAUACUACAGAACAGAUUAUUUGUAACAUUUGUAAGCGCUGAAAUUAAUGUAGUGUGAAUUUGUCAUUUUGACAAAAAGUUAUAGAUUGUCUAUAUUAUAAUUUAAUUUUUUUAAUGUAAAAAAUAGGAAUCUUGCCCUUUCUGGCCUCUUGGGAAGCAAGAACCAGUGUAUCUAAUUAUCUGAACACUCAAGAACAUAAAGGAAUAGCGAGUAGUGAAAUUAUAAAUCUGUUGGAACAACUCCACGUUUUCUGAUUAAACUCUAUUUCUGGCGGCGUUCAGCCACCGUGUUCCCCCUA